UUACCCCGCUGAAACUUAAGCAUAUCAAUAAGCGGAGGAAAAGAAACCAACAGGGAUUGCCCUAGUAACGGCGAGUGAAGCGGCAACAGCUCAAAUUUGAAAUCUGGCUCUUUCAGAGUCCGAGUUGUAAUUUGCAGAGGGCGCUUUGGCUUUGGCAGCGGUCCAAGUUCCUUGGAACAGGACGUCACAGAGGGUGAGAAUCCCGUACGUGGUCGCUAGCUAUUGCCGUGUAAAGCCCCUUCGACGAGUCGAGUUGUUUGGGAAUGCAGCUCUAAAUGGGAGGUAAAUUUCUUCUAAAGCUAAAUAUUGGCCAGAGACCGAUAGCGCACAAGUAGAGUGAUCGAAAGAUGAAAAGCACUUUGGAAAGAGAGUCAAACAGCACGUGAAAUUGUUGAAAGGGAAGCGCUUGCAGCCAGACUUGCUUGCAGUUGCUCAUCCGGGCUUUUGCCCGGUGCACUCUUCUGCAGGCAGGCCAGCAUCAGUUUGGGCGGUGGGAUAAAGGUCUCUGACACGUUCCUUCCUUCGGGUUGGCCAUAUAGGGGAGACGUCAUACCACCAGCCUGGACUGAGGUCCGCGCAUCUGCUAGGAUGCUGGCGUAAUGGCUGUAAGCGGCCCGUCUUGAAACACGGACCAAGGAGUCUAACAUCUAUGCGAGUGUUUGGGUGUCAAGCCCGAGCGCGUAAUGAAAGUGAACGGAGGUGGGAACCCGCAAGGGCGCACCAUCGACCGAUCCUGAAGUUUACGGAAGGAUUUGAGUAAGAGCAUGGCUGUUGGGACCCGAAAGAUGGUGAACUAUGCUUGAAUAGGGUGAAGCCAGAGGAAACUCUGGUGGAGGCUCGCAGCGGUUCUGACGUGCAAAUCGAUCGUCAAAUUUGGGCAUAGGGGCGAAAGACUAAUCGAACUAUCUAGUAGCUGGUUCCUGCCGAAGUUUCCCUCAGGAAAAG
rnacentral:rRNA from 1 species